AGAGUUUGAUUCUGGCUCAGGAUGAACGCUAGCGAUAGGCCUAACACAUGCAAGUCGAGGGGCAGCACAUGAAGUAGCAAUACGGAUGGUGGCGACCGGCGCACGGGUGAGUAACGCGUAUGCAACCUGCCUACAACAGGGGAAUAACCCGUUGAAAGACGGACUAAUACCCCAUAACACAGGGAUCCCGCAUGGGAAUAUUUGUUAAAGAUUUAUCGGUUGUAGAUGGGCAUGCGUUCCAUUAGCUUGUUGGUGAGGUAACGGCUCACCAAGGCAACGAUGGAUAGGGGAACUGAGAGGUUUAUCCCCCACACUGGUACUGAGACACGGACCAGACUCCUACGGGAGGCAGCAGUGAGGAAUAUUGGUCAAUGGACGCAAGUCUGAACCAGCCACGUCGCGUGAAGGAAGACGGCCCUACGGGUUGUAAACUUCUUUUGUAAGGGAAUAAAGUGUAGUACGUGUACUAUUUUGCAUGUACCUUACGAAUAAGGAUCGGCUAACUCCGUGCCAGCAGCCGCGGUAAUACGGAGGAUCCGAGCGUUAUCCGGAUUUAUUGGGUUUAAAGGGUGCGCAGGCGGGAGAUUAAGUCGGCGGUGAAAUUUUGCAGCUCAACUGUAAAAGUGCCUUCGAAACUGGUUUUCUUGAGUGUGGAUGAAGUAGGCGGAAUUUGUGGUGUAGCGGUGAAAUGCAUAGAUAUCACGAGGAACUCCGAUUGCGCAGGCAGCUUACUAAACCAUAACUGACGCUCAGGCACGAAGGCGUGGGGAUCAAACAGGAUUAGAUACCCUGGUAGUC
rnacentral:rRNA from 1 species